CCUCGCCUUUUGUUUUAAAAAGUUUCUCUUCACAAAAUGAAUGUUGGUUGUCAGGUGGAUGCUUGCUACCCAAUUGUUUGCCUCGCCUUUUGUUAAAAAAAAGUUUGUGUUUACAAAAUGAUUUUUGGUUCUCAGGUGGCUGCUUGCUACUCAAUUGGUUGCCUCCC